CAGACCUGAUGGCAUAAGAUAUGCCAGACUUGCGGUCCCCUGAAACUUCCUCCUUGAUGUGACAAACGGAAAACUAGACUAGGCUGGCUGACUGUGGCUCGUCUGAAAAAAAAGCAAGCUAUACCUUUUUGCAGAAAAAUCAAAUGUUCUUGACCAUGGUCCAAGAUUGUUAUGCAAUGAAAAUUGUGUAUAAAUGUCUGAUGCUCUCUCAGUAAAGUUGCAACAGCUGACCAC
rnacentral:lncRNA from 1 species